rnacentral:rRNA from 1 species
CCUACGGGUGGCAGCAGUGGGGAAUAUUGCACAAUGGGGGGAACCCUGAUGCAGCGACGCCGCGUGAGUGAAGAAGUAUUUCGGUAUGUAAAGCUCUAUCAGCAGGGAAGAAAAUGACGGUACCUGACUAAGAAGCCCCGGCUAACCACGUGCCAGCAGCCGCGGUAAUACGUAGGGGGCAAGCGUUGUCCGGAUUUACUGGGUGUAAAGGGAGCGUAGACGGUUAUGCAAGUCUGAAGUGAAAGCCCACGGCUCACCAAUGGGACUGCUUGGGAAACUGUAAAACUGGAGUGCCGGAGAGGUAAGCGGCAUUCCUAGUGUAGCGGUUACAUGCGUAGAUAUUAGGCGGAACACCAGUGGCGAAGGCGGCUUACUGGACUGUAACUGACGUUGAGGCUCGAAGGCGUGGGGAGCAAACAGGAUUAGAUACCCGAGUAGUC